AGUCACUGCUAUCCGAAUUCGCCUAAGCCAUGCAAGUCUUGGGAAAUUUAUUUUCCAGGGCGGAAAGCUCAGUAACACGUAGUUAAUAUGCCCUUGGGCCUCGUUCAAUCCCGGGAAACUGGGGCCGAGAACGGGAUAGGCAAGGGGUGCUGGAAUGCACUCUUGCUGAACUAAGGAUUAGACUGCGGCUGAUUAGGUUGUUGGUAAGCUAAAGCCUUAUCAAGCCGAUAAUCAGUACGAGCCUUGAGAGAGGAAACUCGGAGAUGGAUUCUGAGACAACAAUCCAGGUCCUACGGGACGCAGCAGGCGCGAAAAUUUCACAAUGCACGCAAGUGUGAUGGAGGAAUUCGGAGUACUUUUCCUUACUGGAAGAGUUUUUGCGCAACUUAAAUAAUUGCGAGAAUAAGUGGUGGGUAAUACGGGUGCCAGCCAAUCCUUUUCUGUUUAAAAACAUGAUGGAAAGGGGUCUGGACGCCGCGGUAAUACCCGAGCCACAAGUGGUGACCGCUUUUAUUGGGUUUAAAACAUUCGUAGCCGGUCUUGUAAGCUCCCGGUGAAAUAUCACAGUUAACUGUGGUGCUUGCCGGGGAGACUGCCAGACUAGAGACCGGGAGAAGUCAAGGGUACUGUCGGGGUAGGGGUAAAACGCCAUGCUCGCUGCGCUCACAUGUGCAGUAAGCAUAGCUUACUAUCCUGUAAUCCUGACAGGACCGCCUGUGGCGUAAGUUAUUCUGGAUUUAUUUUUGGAAUAGCUUCCGUACAAGGCGCUUGACCAGAACGGAUCUGACGGUGAGGGAUGAAAGCUAUGGGAGCGAAGCGGAUUAGAUACCCGCGUAGUCAUAGCUGUAAACGAUACCCACUAGUUACUGGGGGUCUCAAGGGGGUCCCCAAUGACGUAGGGAAACCGUUAAGUGGGUUACCUGGGGAGUACGUUCGCAAGGAUGAAACUUAACGGAAUUGGCGGGGGAGCACACAAGGGGUGGAUGCUGCGGUUC
rnacentral:rRNA from 1 species